CCUACGGGAGGCAGCAGUGGGGAAUAUUGCGCAAUGGGCGCAAGCCUGAUCCAGCAACGCCGCGUGAAGGAAGAAGGGUUUCGGCUCGUAAACUUCUAUCAUCAGGGACGAAGCAAGUGACGGUACCUGAGUAAUAAGCCACGGCUAACUACGUGCCAGCAGCCGCGGUAAUACGUAGGGGGCAAGCGUUAUCCGGAUUUACUGGGUGUAAAGGGUGAGUAGGCGGCAUGGUAAGUCAGAUGUGAAAGCCAUGGGCUUAACCCGUGGAUUGCAUUUGAAACUGUGUAGCUUGAGUACAGGAGAGGCAGGCGGAAUUCCUAGUGUAGCGGUGAAAUGCGUAGAUAUUAGGAAGAACACCAGUGGCGAAGGCGGUUUUCUGGACUGAAACUGACGCUGAGGCACGAAAGCGUGGGGAGCGAACAGGAUUAGAUACCCCUGUAGUC
rnacentral:rRNA from 1 species